rnacentral:rRNA from 1 species
UACAGAGGGGGCAAGCGUUGUUCGGAAUUACUGGGCGUAAAGGGCGCGUAGGCGGCCUGUUAAGUCGGACGUGAAAUCCCUCGGCUCAACCGGGGAACUGCGUCCGAUACUGGCGGGCUUGAAUUCGGGAGAGGGAAGUGGAAUUCCCGGUGUAGUGGUGAAAUGCGUAGAUAUCGGGAGGAACACCAGUGGCGAAGGCGACUUCCUGGCCUGUUCUUGACGCUGAGGCGCGAAAGCUAGGGGAGCAAACGGG